CAGCUGCAUUUAAUUAGUUGGAUUGAAUCUAAACUCUGCAGGGCUGUGGCCCUCCAGGAACUGAGUUUGACACCCCUGCCCUAAACUAACUAACCAGCACUGUUUCUCUACAACUUUAGGGAAAUAUGAAGCAAAAAUCACAGUAAUUUGGCCACUACAAUCUAGUAUUUGCUGUGACAUCCAGCUCUGUUUCAUCCCCUUCAAAUGACCGACAAUCUAUUCUCAACAGCAGCAUGCAGGACAAAGCGGACAAGGAAUAAAACGGAGAAUUUGGCACCAUCUAGUGGUUGGAAAGAGAAUGGCAGCAGCGCCGCCACUGCCAGCACUGCUGCUUAUCUGAGCCUAAUCUCAAUACUCAGCCAAAAAUACACACAACCAGGCUGCCAGGAGGCUCGAAGUGCAAGCGAGAUCUGACUUACAUCAGGUACCGGAUCACAGAGGAGUUGUUUUUAAAAAUGCUAGUCACUAGAAAAAAGUAGUUAAAUAUGUCAAAUAAUUUGAAUAAAUAGAAGCUACUUUGCAGGAGAACAGGGGAGGAUGAGACACCAGCAGAUGGAGCUGGCAGCACUGACUGAUUAAAAUAACUCAAAUUACCAUCUUAUAAAAUGGUAAUGAUUGUCAAUUGCAAGAGACCCAGAGGUUAUGAUGAGCGCUUAAAUACAGUGUUUACAUCUUGCUGAGAAAUGGAGGUGUUCAGUAAUGAUGUGUAUGUGCAGGCCAACCAGGAAGACUAAUUCACCAUGGGUUUCCUUAGGAACUUCCUGUGGGCUUUAAGAAUGGCAGUUUUGGAUUUAUAAUUAAAAUAAGGUCUGUAGUUUCGAGACUUUUACAUUUCAUCAUACAACAUACACUACUGUUCAAACUUUUGGAGCUGGUAAGAACUUUUGAUGAUUUUGAAAUUAGUCUUUCAUGCUCACCAUAAAAAUACAGUAA